UACGGAGGGUGCAAGCGUUAUCCGGAUUCACUGGGUUUAAAGGGAGCGUAGGUGGGCUGGUAAGUCAGUGGUGAAAUCUCCGAGCUUAACUUGGAAACUGCCAUUGAUACUAUUAGUCUUGAAUAUUGUGGAGGUCAGCGGAAUAUGUCAUGUAGCGGUGAAAUGCUCAGAGAUGACAUAGAACACCAAUUGCGAAGGCAGCUGGCUACGCAUAUAUUGACACUGAGGCUCGAAAGCGUGGGGAUCAAAC
rnacentral:rRNA from 1 species